rnacentral:lncRNA from 1 species
CAGAGAUGAUACUUUGAUAUGAAAGACCCUAACCAAAGUUCAUAAACUUGAGUACACGAUUGGCCAAUAAGAUCAAAUAGCAUAGCAAAUAAAGCUUCUGCCUCGUGUUAUAUAUAUAUAUAUAUACAGGAAGUUGACUAUUAGCACUUGCAUGUGUGUUACAUAGUAUAAGGCACACCAUGCCAUUGGAUCAAAAACCUUUAGAUCACACAUGAUGAUCAUAUUUACACAUAUUUUCAAAAUAGAAAAAGAACAUAUCUUUCUAUUAGCUUAAUUUUAUCAAGUAAAAAGGUGUGUUUUUGUUUUUAGUGAUUCCAUUUCACUGUGAACCUUGUUAGGCAGAAGCAUAAUACAGCAUGAAUAAUUUCCCUUCUAGAACUCCAAAACUGUAGUUUGGGAAGAAGCUGCAACAGAAUAGCUUCUGGCAUUUCCAAAAGAGAAACCAAACAUGCCACAGGUAUACUAUAUCUGGGGCUUACUACCUCGUGUAAGCAACAGGUUUUUCAUCUCUCUGUAGCCAUGAAACUCUUCCAAUGCAUCAGUUGUUGUUUUCCUUGUUGCUGAGAGCCCGGAAGACAUCAUGCUUGCUGGCACUGGUGCUUCUAGAGCCUGAUUCAUGUCUUGAAUGUUGUUAGCAUUCCAGGUUUCGGGGCGUGUGCUGUGUGACAAGUGUUCAGAAGUAGAGAAAUCUUGCCGGAGAGGUGGUGCUUUCUUCAGCAUACGUACAAGCGCACCAACAGCAGCAUCCUGGGACUUUCUGAUGGGAAGGAAUCCUCCAGCUUCAAAUGCCUCAGCCAUAUGACCAUGAUCAAAUGAUUCCGCCCUGGUUAUGCACAAGGGUUCAUGUUAACAUCAGAAAAACAGAACUACGCCCGAGAUAUUUAGAGUCACCCACAACUUUAAAAAAGCCAAGGAAAACAACUCAGAUUACAUAUUAUAUAUUAGAAAAUUUACAAUUGUUUAAAAUAUGAUUCAUUGUCAGGAGAUCAUACAUGACCUAGUAAUUUGAGAGCCUACGAAAGUUAGGUUUUGAAUGAAAUAUCGAAUCUAAUGACUGAAUGGACACUGCUAUGCACCCAAGGGAAGUGGAGAACCCACCCUCUAAACCUAGCAGUCAAGGAGAGGAAAGGGGGAAGAGGGGUGGGGACAACCCCCUUCCGGUCUCCCUGACUAGUAAAUACCAAAUACAGUAUACAACACUACUCGAAGUGGUAUUUUGCACUUCACACACUGUACUCAGUGAUACAUCACUAACCCUAUUCCCAAGUCAGAAACCUUCGCAGGUAGUCUCAGACUUUUACAUUUAGGGUUUCGUCGUCACUUGAGACGCUGGUUUAUGGUCAUCGCUCUUUAUCUCGUCGCUCUCCCAAAUGGGCUAAAUCUCAGUCAACAGCCCAUUCAUACAGAGGGGUGCGAAUGAAAAUAUGUAUAAAUUUAGGUGUCAUAAUACUAUAUGCAGUAGUGUAUAGGCAAUGUUGUAAAAUACCUAAAGACCUGACACCAAAGCAAAAACUUGUGUCAGUGGUCACCGGUGCAUCCUUCUCCUCAAUUGGACCGGUGCAGGCUAUUACUCGCCAUUAAUAUAUUUGUAAAUGAUAAAUAUGAUGUUCAUAAAAAUUAGACUUAUAAUAACAGCAGAGAUGAUACUUUGAUAUGAAAGACCCUUACCAAAGUUCAUAAACUGAGUACACGAUUGGCCAAUAAGAUCAAAUAGCAUAGCAAAUAAAGCUUCUGCCUCGUGUUAUAUAUAUAUAUAUAUACAGGAAGUUGACUAUUAGCACUUGCAUGUGUGUUACAUAGUAUAAGGCACACCAUGCCAUUGGAUCAAAAACCUUUAGAUCACACAUGAUGAUCAUAUUUACACAUAUUUUCAAAAUAGAAAAAGAACAUAUCUUUCUAUUAGCUUAAUUUUAUCAAGUAAAAAGGUGUGUUUUUGUUUUUAGUGAUUCCAUUUCACUGUGAACCUUGUUAGGCAGAAGCAUAAUAGAGCAUGUAUAAUUUCCCUUCUUGAACUCCAAAACUGUAGUUUGGGAAGAGGCUGAACAGAAGAGCUUCUGCCAUUUCCAAAAGAGAAACCAAACAUGCCACAGGUAUACUAUAUCUGGGGCUUACUACCUCGUGUAAGCAACAGGUUUUUCAUCUCUCUGUAGCCAUGAAACUCUUCCAAUGCAUCAGUUGUUGUUUUCCUUGUUGCUGAGAGCCCGGAAGACAUCAUGCUUGCUGGCACUGGUGCUUCUAGAGCCUGAUUCAUGUCUUGAAUGUUGUUAGCAUUCCAGGUUUCGGGGCGUGUGCUGUGUGACAAGUGUUCAGAAGUAGAGAAAUCUUGCCGGAGAGGUGGUGCUUUCUUCAGCAUACGUACAAGCGCACCAACAGCAGCAUCCUGGGACUUUCUGAUGGGAAGGAAUCCUCCAGCUUCAAAUGCCUCAGCCAUAUGACCAUGAUCAAAUGAUUCCGCC